rnacentral:pre_miRNA from 13 species
GGCCGCACGAGAUAAUGCAUUAUCCCGUGCGGUCCGCUUAUGACAACAUGGUUGUCAUAAGCGGACCGCACGGGAUAAUGCAUUAUCUCGUGCGGCC